rnacentral:lncRNA from 1 species
GCUGCGGUGGUGGAGGAGGAUGAGAGGAAGGGAUCUUCGUCUAGGAUUUCAGUGGAUUGAGUGAGGAGAGAAGGGGAGAUGGUAAUCGGUUUUUCUUUUUUUUUUUCUUUUUUGUUUGUAAUUGGGCCGAAUGGGCUAGGUGGGGUGGGUUGAGUAGAGUAACCUUUUAUUUUUGGUUGGAUUGGGCUUUAUAUUUAGGCAUUAGUAGAUUUUUUUUAAAAGUUUUGGCAUAAAUGAGACACUUACACAAAAGUGUCCCAAACAUGUAUCCCUAUAACCUAAUUCUUUUGUAGUGAUGGUAUUAGAGCAUAAAAAAGAAUACAAAAAGAAUAAUAGAAAAUAGUU